rnacentral:lncRNA from 1 species
CUAUUUAUGUAAAAAUGAUGAAACUACCCUUGUGAUCAUUUAGAAGUAUUAUGCUGACAGCUCCCCUACCUCUUUUUAUGUAUUUCUUCAUCCGAGAUCACUGCUUCUCCUUUGCUUGGGUUAGUCCACCGCCUCAACUACCACCGACUCUUCCACUAAGACGAACCUUGAACCCACAAAAAAAUCUCACCGGUGCUCCCUCUUCUUCUUCCACCCCAUUGCCUUGCUCUCUCGCCAAAGAUCGUAUGAUCGAGUAGCAACGAAAGAUGCUACUGAAGAGCUGGUGACGUCGACGAAAAACCUUCUCCUUUUCUACAUGGAUUGAAGCUUCCAUCUUCGAUUGGAGAACAUUCGGCGCCUUCGUUUCUGUUUCAGCUUAGAAAAUCGAUUCCCCUCCUCCUCCGUUGUUUUACUAUUCCAGGUUUGGUGUUCGCCAUCUACCUUUUUUUUCCUGUUUCCGUGUACUGCCAUCUGUUGGGAAUGGAAGAAAGAAGCAUGUGUAUAUGCCUUUGACUCAACCGCCAUCUGGCAAACGGAUUUACAGACCCAAUUCUUAUCCAGGUAUUAGUCGCCCUAGAAAAGAUGUAUAUGCCUGAAUUAGCCUACUGAUUUAGAGACCAAUUCUUAUCCUCACUUUACAGUUCCAUGUUUACUUUAGCCAUAUAAGGGAUAUGCUUUUCAACCCAUGUCUUUUAAUUAUGUAUGAUUCACAAAGUGCAUAUUGUCAUUAAAGAACUUAUUGUGAUUUUGGUGUGGAUGCGAGGUGGUAAUGGAGGCGGGUGAAUGAUGGCUUGAUUGGAGAAAUAAGGGAGGUGGUUGACGGUUGUUUUAAGUGGGAAUGGUGGAGAAGUGGUGGUCAGGAGUGGGGGUGAGGAUGGAUUAACGUGUUGUUUUCAUUGAAGGAUGUUCAUCAAGGUUAUUUUAACUUUACCUUGGUAAUUCAUGAAGCUAUUCCGAUUCCCAGGUGACGAUUGUUCAUCCCUCUUUCUAUAUGCUUUCAAUUUCAUGUUUGUUUAAGUGUGUUCUUAAUUUUAAUUUAUUUGUUCGAAUAUAAGAAUGGGCAAGUAGAAUGAAGCUUAACGAUAGACUUUACUUGCUCAGGUAUUAGCCGCCAAAUAUUAGUAAUGUAACAACUCUGAAGUAAGAAUUCCUUUUCAGCAUAUCUUGGCACACAAUCAACACCUAGACAAUCAGCAGCUUCUUGAACCUUCAAUCACGUGCAUUCUCCCAUUUAGAUUAAUUAGAGAAAAAGACAAAAAUGCCCCUAAAAAAACUUGAGACUUACACGAGCGAUUGCAUUAGCAGUUUCAGUUGGUGCUAUUCUAGGGCUGCUCACUAUUGAUUUCACCUUCAAAUCAAAUUACAAAAAAAAAAAAACUGUAUAGUUCCAAGCAUGUCCAUAGGCAUGUUACUGUUAUCAGAUUCAGAAUCACUACCCUGUUAAAAAAAUCUCAAGAAAACCAAAUUAGGGAAAUUAAGAAAACAAACAAUUUUUUUUUUCACAUACUGGUUUAUUUAUUAAUAUCACCUCAGGGUUUCCAUGGCAGACAAGUACAAUCCGUUUACUAGCUUUCCUCCCUGCAGAGCUUCCAGAAGCAAUAGGGGAGCUUGGAGUUUGAUUUAAUCUGGUAAGACAUAUAUAUGGAGAUCCACCUUCAGGUUGUGGGACAAAAUCUAGCACACUUACACCACAGUUGCUUUGAAGUAAAAUACAUUGAAUCAACAUCAGGUAUGACGUUAACAGACUUCUAUUUUAAAAUGAAUCUAGAAAUCCAAAAGUUUUUUAUUUUCAUUUCAUGGAUUAUAUCUUUUCCGUCUCUAUUGCAUCUUUGAUUGAUUAAACCUAUUUCUAAUAAGGACCUUUUUUUUGCCUACUACCUGUUUGAUAAAAUGCCACAAUUAAUGAAAAAAUAAAGAUCCAAAGGUUAGCAGGUGGAGGAUAAAAUUAUGCAGCAUUUGUACGAGAUAUUGGUGUUCUAUCAGCAGAUACAUAUCUUUUGGAGGAGGUAAAUUAAAUUAUAUAUUUUUUUGGUCAACAUGUGGUCAAAGGAAACAUUUUCAGUUUGAUGAAAAGUGAAAACUACUUGAAUGGUUGUCGUAUGAUUUUUUUAAUAGUAUUUAUGAAUGUUGAGGAGGGUUUUAACAAAUUGUUGAUGUUUAAUUAAUUAUUUCUCGAAUUAAUUGACUGUUGCAUUGAUUUCCUAUCUUCAUCUUAAAACAGUUUUAUGUUAUAACUUCCAUACAAAUUAUGUAUGAUAUGUUUUGUUGAUAAUAUUGUUCUUUGUUUACUAUAUUACAGAAAGAAGUUGUUCAACUUACUUGCGAGUGUGAAAGACAUUUUGGGACACAAUCUGGUGGAAUGGAUCAGGUAUAUACAUAUAAUAUUUCUCAUAAACCAAUGAACUUUUCGAGUAAUUACAUUUUGUGCUUAAAUGCAAAAAAUUAACAUCAUACUUUCCUUUAUAAUAAAUGAAAGUGGAAUGGUAUAAUGAACGCAUAGGAAGUAACUUGAAAGUACAAUGUUAUAAUUUGUAUUUUUUUAUUGAACUAGGCAAUAUCCAUAAUGGAAAAACGGGAUUUGCUGACCUAGUAGAUUUCAACCCUCUUCGUGCAACUGAUGUGCAACUGCCAGCUGACGGAACUUUUCUAAUUGCUCAUUCAUUGGCUGAAUCACAGAAAGUUGUAACUGCUGCAACAAACUACAAUAAUCGUGUUGUUGAAUGUUGUUUAGCUUCUGUAAGAUUAAAGAAAAGUCUUUUUUUCAUUAUUUUUGUGUUGCUUCAAUGGUUUGAUUGGUUUGAUGGAAUGGAAUGACCCAUUACAUUCUGUUCAACAAAACAAAUAGUUUCUUUUCUUCAUUCCAGUAGAAUGAAUCAUUCCAUUCCUUUUCCAAUUUCAUUGUUGUAUGUCCCUAAAUCCUCCAUAACAAAUGGGGCCUAUGUGGCAAGUAGUCGACUAAUAUUCUAUAUUUACCUCUCUUACAUUCUAAUUUUUCUUUUCACUUUCCACCUAUUUUCCUAAUAAUCAUUCUAUUUUUGAAAACUCUAUAUUUAUUUAUUU